AUGGCAAAGGUUAUCGUGUACCCAGGAAAGGAUGGGAAGGUGCGAAGACUCAAGUUGCUCAUCAGCGACUCAACCCUUGAUGAGAAAGGAAAGCGUAUCUCCAAACCUGUCCACCUGGAAAGGCCCAUCCAUAAGACGGUGACGCUGAUGGAAGCAGACUGAAGACUCCGACCUCUCUCUUUCUUUUCCUCCCCUCUCUCUCUCUAUCUGUCUCACUACAGGUGCAGUCAUGGUGAUCGUUCUCUGGGGAAGCCAAGGACUGAAGUUUAGUUUUUUUGUUUAUCCUUUCUACGCAGUAUGUUGUCUCUCAAUAGUUGAAGAAAAUCAUAUACAUGUGAUAUGUUUUGGUGGGAGUGUAACUGCCUCUGUGUCAGUCAGCGCGGUAUUUCUGAGUUAUUUAUUUUGGUAGGAACCAAAGUUCUCUAAGGCGGAACCUUUGUUUUUGUAUCGCCCGUUUCCGUCAGGACAUACUUUAGCGUAACACUCAUCAAAAAAGUCCGCUGAUUUAGUACAUGUUUUUCAGUGCUGAUGCAUCUGCAAAAUAGCUCUUAGCAUCAAGAUAAACAAUCCUACAGAGUAAUGCCAAGCUACACAACUUUCCUCUUGCAAUGCAGCUACUAAGUUUUCACGGUCUGGAUGAACCAAAUAAAUCCUGCCAGUAAACAAAAAGGAAA